rnacentral:lncRNA from 1 species
CAUUUUCUGGAGAGGUCUAUAAACUGUGGCAUUUGGAAAGGAAUGAGAUAUCCAUUUACAAAUAUUCAUAAAGAGCGAAUUGAAGUAUUCUUCUUAGUAUGGAAUUCCUUAAGCUGAGUUUGAUUCUGGCCACUCUUAUCAUCGCAGCCACUAGUUAGUAAUCCAUAUUAUCUCUAUUUAUCUUUGAAUUGUACUUUUACAUUGCUGCAUUGGCCACAUAUAUGUAUGUAUACUUAUACAAGUUUGCACGAGUUUCAUACGCAUGUAUGCCUGUAAGGAUAUACAUGUACUUUUAUGCAUGACAUUUAAUUGUUGUUCAUUUUCAUAUUUUAUCGAUCAUUCUCUUAUUUGAUAUGAUGAAAUAUUUCAGUGAAUGCGCCAUGGUCCUCAAAUACAAAUGUCGUUGAUGCACGGGAUGUUGAUUAUGAUAUUUCAGGAAUCAAGAGGAGGAUAAUGCCGCAACUUAAUACCUGUGGGAGACUUUGUAUUUCAGACGUUGAUUGCGGUGAUUGCAUAAUUUGUUGUACAUGUCGUGCGUCGCCUGUUUACGAUGAAUCUCUAUGUUUCGUGUAGGUAGUGUGUAGUGUCGACAAUUAACUCAGCAUUUCCUUUCCAUCAUUUCUUAUUUCUUUAUCUUUGAUACUAUGUACGAAUAAUAAAGAAGUCAAGGGAGUGACUUUUUUUCUCAUGAAUAAUAAUGGACUCCGCUCCGAAGAUUGGCAGGAAA